GGCUUUUCCAUUAGUUCUU
rnacentral:misc_RNA from 1 species